rnacentral:rRNA from 1 species
GACGAACGCUGGCGGCGUGCUUAACACAUGCAAGUCGAACGGAAAGGCCCUGCUUUUGUGGGGUGCUCGAGUGGCGAACGGGUGAGUAACACGUGAGUAACCUGCCCUUGACUUUGGGAUAACUUCAGGAAACUGGGGCUAAUACCGGAUAGGAGCUCCUGCUGCAUGGUGGGGGUUGGAAAGUUUCGGCGGUUGGGGAUGGACUCGCGGCUUAUCAGCUUGGUGGUGGGGUAGUGGCUUACCAAGGCUUUGACGGGUAGCCGGCCUGAGAGGGUGACCGGCGACAUUGGGACUGAGGUAGGGCCCAGUCUCCUACGGGAGGCAACAGGGGGGAGUAUUGCACAAUGGGCGGAAGCCUGAGGCAGCAACGCCGCGUGCGUGAUGACGUCCUUCGGGUUGUAAACCGCUUUCGCCUGUGACGAAGCGGUAGUGACGGUAAUGGAUAAAGAAGCACCGGCUAACUCCGUG